UCAGGACGAACGCUGGCGGCGUGCUUAACACAUGCAAGUCGAACGGAAAGGCCCUGCUUGCAGUGGUGCUCGAGUGGCGAACGGGUGAGUAACACGUGGGUGAUCUGCCCCUUACUUUGGGAUAAGCCUGGGAAACUGGGUCUAAUACUGGAUAGGACCAUGCUGUAGGUGGCGUGGUGGAAAGAUUAGUUUCGGUAAGGGAUGAGCUCGCGGCCUAUCAGCUUGUUGGUGGGGUAAUGGCCUACCAAGGCGUCGACGGGUAGCCGGCCUGAGAGGGUGGACGGCCACAUUGGGACUGAGAUACGGCCCAGACUCCUACGGGAGGCAGCAGUGGGGAAUAUUGCACAAUGGGCGCAAGCCUGAUGCAGCGACGCCGCGUGGGGGAUGACGGCCUUCGGGUUGUAAACUCCUUUCAGCCAUGACGAAGCCCUUGUGGUGACGGUAGUGGUAGAAGAAGCACCGGCUAACUACGUGCCAGCAGCCGCGGUAAUACGUAGGGUGCGAGCGUUGUCCGGAAUUACUGGGCGUAAAGAGCUCGUAGGUGGUCUGUCGCGUCAUUUGUGAAAGCCCGGGGCUUAACUCCGGGUCGGCAGGUGAUACGGGCAUGACUGGAGUACUGUAGGGGAGACUGGAAUUCCUGGUGUAGCGGUGAAAUGCGCAGAUAUCAGGAGGAACACCGGUGGCGAAGGCGGGUCUCUGGGCAGUAACUGAC
rnacentral:rRNA from 1 species